rnacentral:rRNA from 1 species
UACGUAGGGGGCAAGCGUUGUCCGGAAUCAUUGGGCGUAAAGAGCGCGUAGGCGGCCCGAUAAGUCCGCUGUGAAAGUCAAGGGCUUAACCCUUGAAUGCCGGUGGAAACUGUCGGGCUAGAGUCCGGAAGAGGCGAGUGGAAUUCCUGGUGUAGCGGUGAAAUGCGUAGAUAUCAUGUGGAACGCCAAUGGUGAAAACAGGUUGCUGGGAGUGUGCUGACGCUGAGACACGAAAGCCAGGGGAGCGAACGGG